UUUCUCUCUACUCUUUAUCUUUAAACCUUUUACCACCAAUGCAAAUGUAGAGGGAAAAUCUAGAAAGAGAAGGUGUUCAUCCCAAAUUUGCUGUCCUCAUAUUCCUGAUGAUAUUUGCGUCUGCAUUUUAUCGGCCCUCACUGUUGAAUCGAUGUACAGGUUAAAAUGUGUGUGUAAAUCAUGGCAACAACUUCUCGGCUCCAAGUAUUUUGCACAGAUCCAUUCUCUCUCUCCCACCCUACCUUCUGAUACCAUUGAUGUGAUUCCCGAUAUCUUUGGCUUCUUCCUUCUUCGGGUCUCCAAGAAAUCCACCCAAAAAUAUUUGAGUCAAACCCUGGGUUUUAUUUCAACCCUGUGAACCACACUUUCAAGUUGCUGGUGAGAAGGAGGGCCAUGUUCAGCUCGGCCAUGAGAUGUUGGAAAGACGUUAGCUUUCUAGUACCAACCCAUUGGUGGUCGGACAUUUGCGUGCGUGGCGUUUACUACAGAGUUUCAGACCGGACGGUGGUGGCCUUUGAUAUGGAGAGCGAAAUUUGGGAAUACAUUCCUAUGCCUGAAUCGGUCGAGUCCACAAAGUGAUUUGCCUUGGCCAAGGUCUAUGUCCUUUGGCUGAGGUUGGUCUGCAUAUUGAACGGUUCACAUGGUAACUAGCUUUCUUUAGUGGUGCUUAUUCUUCCAAUAUUGUAAUGGUAUUGAUGAUUUGUAUGGGAUGGGGUCUUCUUUACACUGAUAAGAGGGCAUAUGAGCUUUUGAUCUUGUGUGGAGUAAUGCA